rnacentral:tRNA from 2 species
AGGUAGCUAUUUUAAUUAAAAUACUUGGUUUCGGCCCAAGAGACCUCAGUGAAACCCCGAGGCAACCUC